rnacentral:rRNA from 1 species
UUGUCAUGCCAAUGGCACUGCCCGGUAGCUAAAUGCGGAAGAGAUAAGUGCUGAAAGCAUCUAAGCACGAAACUUGCCCCGAGAUGAGUUCUCCCUGAGACUUUAGGUCUCCUGAAGGAACGUUGAAGACGACGACGUUGAUAGGCCGGGUGUGUAAGCGCAGCGAUGCGUUGAGCUAACCGGUACUAAUGAACCGUGAGGCUUAACCUU